AUGUGUUAGCAUGUCCAUGAUCAUUACGUAAUUCCAACGUUUCAUCCAUCUAUUUAGAAUUUUAAUAUUCAUUUUAAUUCUAUUUUGUUAAUGCAUACUGACCAUAUUUGUUGUUUUUGUGUUAACAUGUGAAUGAGAGAUCUAAACCAUCCAAGUUACUCAUCUUGUUUUUAUUCAUUAGUUUGUGUUGUUUGAAGUAUCAUGCCACUUGUAUGGUUUAGACAUGGCACAUGAUUUGUAACUUGUAUUUUCUUUUUAUUCCCUUAUGUUGUAUUGUGUGGAUCCAUCCCCCCAUUGUGGGUCAAAUGUCCCCCACCCCAUGAUCAUGUAAUAGCUUAGAUUUAUUGCUUUCUAG
rnacentral:lncRNA from 1 species